UUCUCGGAUAACUCAGUUGGUAGAGUGGGCGUCUUUUUGGGGUCUAGUCCCUAGUUCGAGUCCAGGUUCGAGAA
rnacentral:tRNA from 1 species